AUUGAACGCUGGCGGCAUGCCUUACACAUGCAAGUCGAACGGUAACAGGUCUUCGGAUGCUGACGAGUGGCGCACGGGUGAGUAAUACAUCGGAACGUGCCCGAUCGUGGGGGAUAACGAGGCGGAAGCUUUGCUAAUACCGCAUACGAUCUACGGGUGAAAGCGGGGGGUCUUCGGACCUCGCGCGGACGGAGCGGCCGAUGGCAGAUUAGGUAGUUGGUGGGAUAAAAGCUUACCAAGCCGACGAUCUGUAGCUGGUCUGAGAGGAUGAUCAGCCACACUGGAACUGAGACACGGCCCAGACUCCUACGGGAGGCAGCAGUGGGGAAUUUUGGACAAUGGGCGAAAGCCUGAUCCAGCCAUGCCGCGUGCAGGAUGAAGGCCUUCGGGUUGUAAACUGCUUUUGUACGGAACGAAAAGCCGCUUUCUAAUAAAGAGGGGUCAUGACGGUACCGUAAGAAUAAGCACCGGCUAACUACGUG
rnacentral:rRNA from 1 species